ensembl:lncRNA
CAGAUCAUCAGCUGUGGCAGAGACCUCCCCAUCCCACAGGCAUUUGCAUCAUUAAGAUAACAAGUCACAUAGCUAGAUGUGAGCACAAACACAUACAUGCAUACAGAAGAAAUCUCAGCAAAGUCAAGGAUGUUUAAACUUUUGUUUAAGUUUGGCCAAAUAUCAAAGAGUUUGAAAAAAAUGCAAAUGAAGGAAAUCCAUAACCAAACCUAAGCCCCAGGCUCCUGAAGUCUUUGAGCUGAAGUUCUCAACCUUCACAUAAGUACUUGGAUGUUUCCUAUCUAAAAUCAAAUUGCUCCCAUCAAAUCCCUCCCAUCCCACCUGUCUAGACAAGGCUUGUACAGCACAAACGAAUGUUGUCCUAUACAUACAUGCUGUUCUGUUCCCUCACAUGCACACAAAUUCUUACAUCUGGUUUUUACAUCUCUGCCAUACUGGCCAGGUCACUUCUACUUGCUAUUUUCAAUGGCUAUGUGCCUACAUACUGAAUCACUCACAAUGCAAUCAGGUAGAAAGCAGAAAAUUCUCUGAAUAAAAUGGAAGAGCUUCCCUGAACAGUGUCCAGCCCUCCACUCUUCAGUUUUCCUUACUGUAUAUUUAUCUAUUCACCUGUUACUGGACAUGAAUAUAUCAUUGUGCCGAGUAAAAAUAUUCUUUUUUCUUUUUUAUUUUUAUCUAAGUUUUCUACUCAAGUUUUAAGUUUGGGGAGCUGAAGAUUGUUUUGGGUCUCAGAAAGGAGCCCUAGUUUUACACUGAGCUUUAUAGUGAGCAGUACUUAUGAGGAUGAAAUGGCAUUUGGAAAGGAGGAACCAAAAUCCAAAGAAAUCAUUCACAGAAAGGUGAUCACACAAAGUUGUUUUGAUGUUUGUUCAAUAUUUCCCAAUUAUUUUCACCUGAGGAAAUGUAAGAGUAAGAGGACACAGUUUUAUGGCAUAUGAGUAAGGGUCUUCUGUCCUUCAAAAAUGCUGAGUUGAUGCGCAAACUGACACUGGUUCAGUCCCUGUUUAGCAUUCUAUUUUUGUCUGAAGCUACACAAUUAAACAGUAUUUCUGUGUAUUCAGAGAAUUCUGUUCCUGUUCACUGGAAACCUAAGCUUCUGUCUUCCAGAAAGAAAUCACUUUUAGCCGAAAUGAUACAUGAGAAAGAACUUGACCUCUGUACAAAUACCCUUGUCUCCAUCUAGCUUCCAUAAAGCUAGUGGAAAGCUCCUAAGAAGAGCUGGGUUGGAUACUCUUGUACAUAAACCAGGAUAUAUAGCCCCAUAACUUUUUCUCAACAUGUCUUAUUUAUUCAGUGUAUUCCAUUGUCUCUUUCCAUGGGGACCUUUGCAAUCUCCUCUGUCAAUAAUGCCAGUCAUCAAAUCCCAAUGGCCAAAUUGCUACAGCCAUAAUUGUCACCUCUUUUUUUUUUUUUUUUUUUUGCUUUGCCGUGCUUUCUCAUCUGCCAGCAUCCACAUAUUUAAGAUGUAGUAGCCUACUGAAACAACCAGGUAACAUGCAGAGAAUAACAAAGUUCUUUUUUUGCUUGUCUUGUUUCCACUUCUAUUCUAUUAGACUCUCUCUUUUUUUUUUUUCUUUUUAAUUUGACUGCUUUGCCUACAUUAAGCCCCAAUGAUGGAGCAAGGUGUUAUUCCAGUGGGGCAGAAUCCAGCACAGACUGUGAUCCCUUUAGGCAAUGAAUUGCUUUUCUCUUUUUAUGUUGAAGUGCCCAGCAUAUUUUGAAGGAAGAGUUUAGAAUAAUGACUAUUGAUGCUGCUACCACACAGGGCAGAAGAGUCCUUGAUGGUUCCGGCUGUCUGGCUUUCUAGGGUAGAGCUGUGGGCAAUCAAUUAACUCCACCAGUCCGAAAAGCAGAAAUGCAUGCAAGCAGACAUCAAAUCCUGCUUACAAGGUUAGCACAAGCCAUUUGCUACAGAAUGCUAAGUCCAACCAGUGUGUUCCAACCUCUUUGCAAAGCCAUCACUUCCUAUGAGGGGUCUGAGAAGUGUUUUACAAUAUCCUGUAGUAAGAGCGGAGUGUGUACAGAUGCCAAGGUGAAAUGACUUAAAUCUGCCAUAGAAAAUACACAGUUAUUUGUACAGCAGUUUGGAUGAGGUGCCUAUUCAUGGCAGAGCUCCAUUUGACUUUUAGGAUCUAGCUAAAUUAUGAGAUGGAGAACAGACCCAAGAACAAGUGUAUACACACACUGUGUUCUGAUGGUCUUUCCAUUCUCUGUGUCACACUAGCUGGCCAACUCUCCAUGUGCAAGGGCAGUGCUGUGUUCAGGGGGACCUUGGAUCAGGUAGAAGGGAAAUUUGGUACUUCCAAGUGUCAAUAAGGCUUUCUGGAGACAUUAAAGAAUAGCUGGUCCUAUCCUAGUAGAGCCAC